AUACGUAGGGGGCGAGCGUUGUCCGGAAUGAUUGGGCGUAAAGGGCGCGUAGGCGGCGCGGUAAGUCUGGAGUGAAAGUCCUGCUUUCAAGGUGGGAAUUGCUUUGGAUACUGUCGGGCUUGAGUGCAGGAGAGGUAAGUGGAAUUACCAGUGUAGCGGUGAAAUGCGUAGAGAUUGGGAGGAACACCAGUGGCGAAGGCGACUUACUGGACUGUAACUGACGCUGAGGCGCGAAAGUGUGGGGAGCAAACAGGAUUAGAUACCCUGGUAGUCCACACUGUAAACGAUGAAUGCUAGGUGUAGGGGGUAUCGACCCCUUCUGUGCCGCAGUCAACACAAUAAGCAUUCCGCCUGGGGAGUACGGCCGCAAGGUUGAAACUCAAAGGAAUUGACGGGG
rnacentral:rRNA from 1 species